rnacentral:rRNA from 1 species
AAUGAACGCUAGCGGGUGCCUACACAUACAAAUGGAACGGCAGCCCGGAAUUUGGUGUGUGUCGAGUGGGGCAACGGUUGAGUAUAUAUCGGGACCGUCCUUAGUACGGGGGAUAACUCCGCAAAAGGCGUAGCUAUUCCCGCAUCCGCCCUACGGGGAAAAGCAAGAGGAUGGAAGGACUUGCCACUAUAGGGGCGGCCGAAUAUCGGAAUUAGCUAGUUGGUUGGGGGUAACGGCUCACCAAGGCGACGACCCCUAGCUGGUCUGAGAGGAUGACCAGCCACACUGGAACUGAGACACGGUCCAGACUCCUACGGGAGGCAGCAGUGGGGAAUAUUGCGCAAUGGGGGGAACCCUGACGCAGCCAUGCCGCGUGAAUGAAGAAGGCCUUAGGGUUGUAAAGUUCUUUCGGUAUUGAGGAAGGUUGAUGUGUUAAUAGCACAUCAAAUUGACGUUAAAUACAGAAGAAGCACCGGCUAACUCCGUGCCAGCAGCCGCGGUAAUACGGAGGGUGCGAGCGUUAAUCGGAAUAACUGGGCGUAAAGGGCACGCAGGCGGUUAUUUAAGUGAGGUGUGAAAGCCCCGGGCUUAACCUGGGAAUUGCAUUUCAGACUGGGUAACUAGAGUACUUUAGGGAGGGGUAGAAUUCCACGUGUAGCGGUGAAAUGCGUAGAGAUGUGGAGGAAUACCGAAGGCGAAGGCAGCCCCUUGGGAAUGUACUGACGCUCAUGUGCGAAAGCGUGGGGAGCAAACAGG